rnacentral:misc_RNA from 1 species
GUGAAUCAUCGAAUCUUUGAACGCAAAUUGCACUCCCUGGUAUUCCGGGGAGUAUGCCUGUUUGAGGGUCGGUAGAAGAAAAAUCGAAGCAUCACUCUUUUUGGUGGGGGUGAUCGCGUCGUAAGUGAGCCGUCUUUCAGAGGGUAAAUCAUGUCAAUGUGGCUUAAAAUUCAUCCAUCCGUUACGCUGAAAGCGGAUUUAAUAUCAUUUUUGAUUAAGAACACGCGAUGACGUA